rnacentral:rRNA from 1 species
UAGUCAUAUGCUUGUCUUAAAGACUAAGCCAUGCAUGUCUAAGUAUAAAUAUUAUACAGUGAAACUGCGAAUGGCUCAUUAAAACAGUUAUAGUUUAUUCGAUAAUCAAAUUCUACAUGGAUAACCGUAGUAAUUCUAGAGCUAAUACAUGCUGUCAUACCUGACUUCUGGAAGGGUUGUAUUUAUUAGAUAUAAGCCAAUACCUUAGGGUAUUGUGAUGAUUCAUAAUAACUGAGCGAAUCGCGGCCGUGCCGCGAUGAAUCGUUCAAGUUUCUGC